ensembl:lncRNA
UUUUGUUCCAAGUGGCCCUUCCUUCUUCACUCCACUAUAGUAUCAUUGUGCAGGUUUAUGGUCAGUUACCACCACUGCAGGCUUGUCAGACUUCUAGGGGCUAGGGAAGUUCCAUUAGAAGAGAUGAGAACAUAGUCGAUUGUGAGACUCACACACAAACUAUAGUGCAGUUGUCAUCAACAAUACUAGUGAGUUAUGGUUUCAGAUUUCAAGCCCAUUUUAAAUGGCAUUUAGUCCAAGUCUGGUCAGGGAUCUUAACUUGGGCUCCAGGGGUCUAAGUAGUAGAGUGGAUUACAGUGACGGCCAAAGGGCUUUGUCUCCAGUAAUUGUCCUGUCCCUUACCUCUCACAGGGCACGGAGCCGUCACUUACAUAUAUUCACAUUUCUCAAAGCUUAAACCUGGCUACAACUUGUUUGUCUUGCCAGCUUAAAUGUAUGUUUGUUCGUUAGAAUGAACUGCAUAGCCUGUCAGUAACCAAGGAUGGCCUAUUUCUCAGACUACAGCUUGACUAGCCAUUAAGCUUUUGAUUAACUAAACACAUACCUUGUAGAUUAAGUUUACAGUAUGUUUAUUUACAUGUUGCAACAAUUUAUUUGUAAUGCAACAAUUUGCCUGUAGGGUCUGAGAUUUAAUUGGCCUUAGUGCCUCAAUGUAGUCUGGGGGUAGGGCUGUAUCAAACCUGCAUGUAGACAGCUCUGUCAUAUACAAAUAUGUUGUGGAAUUAUAUUUCUAUUUCACAUCUUUGUAAAAUAGAAACAUAUCAAGAAAUCUGUGUGCCGCAAUUCCACAGGCCCAUACUAACUGUCCUUAAUUUCUCUCCUACAGCAGUACUGCUUUGCCAGUCCUGUACUGCAGUCUCUUAAGGGUGCAGCAACUCAUCCUGUGAAGUCAAGAUCUACAUUUACGAAGUUGGAAUAGCAGUGGACUCCAAGGUCAAACUAGCGACUGUUCAGUAGCAUGUGGCCAGUUCCCCUGAAACUAAGGUAUUGAUCGUAUGGAUCUAAAAGUUGCCUCCACUGCCCCUCAGGUAUACGUGUUACUACAUAUAUAUAGAUAUACUCUCCCUGCCCUGGGUUACAUAAAGUAGCUACACAUUUAUCUCACAGAACAUUCCUAGAUUUGGUUUAAAAAAUCUUGACUUCAUUUUCUUAAAAUGCUAUCAGUAAUUCGCACUCUGGGGGAUAUUUUAUUUAUUUUUACUUUGAAGUUUGAGCCCCAGGAGGAUUUUUCUUUUGUGACGUAAAUAAAACAAAUCACAGGUGGUAUGCUUAUGUGUGUGAGUUCCAACCCUUUUCCAAAGUGUUACUAAUGGUAAAUAGACAUUUUCUAGGCUUCUUUUCUGCCGGUUGAAGUCUGACUGCAGAAGGACCCUUGGCACUGAAAGUGUACGUAUUCUGGAGAGCACAGCCCAGGACCCCUGCAUCAGUGAUGGCUUUAUCCUCUCCUGUUAUCUCCUUGAAAGAAAGACAAAACAACCUCCGCUGUUUCUCAAUGUAUCUGCCUGUUUUUUUUUUAGACAGCUAUGUUUGUAUGUAAGGCAAGCAAGAGAG